UACGUAGGGCGCGAGCGUUGUCCGGAUUUAUUGGGCGUAAAGAGCUCGUAGGCGGCUUGUCGCGUCGACUGUGAAAACCCGCGGCUCAACUGUGGGCUUGCAGUUGAUACGGGCAGGCUAGAGUUCGGUAGGGGAGACUGGAAUUCCUGGUGUAGCGGUGAAAUGCGCAGAUAUCAGGAGGAACACCAAUGGCGAAGGCAGAUCUCUGGGCCGUAACUGACGCUGAGGAGCGAAAGCAUGGGGAGCGAACAGG
rnacentral:rRNA from 1 species